GGUCUUAUGGUCUAGUGGUUAUGACCCAGGACUUUGAAUCCUGUAACCCGAGUUCGAAUCUCGGUAAGACCU